rnacentral:lncRNA from 1 species
CAAUCGCUACCCCCCUCGCCCAAAUCACUGCAAGCCACGAUGUACGAUCCUCGUCUUUCCAGAUCGAUCCAUAGAAAAACUGCGCCGCCGACUCUCCUGUACUGCUCGACUCUACCGGAUGCGCGCCCUCGCGCCCGGCGCUUCGAACCUCAAAUCUUUCGCAUCGCAUCAUUAGAGCAGCCCAAUCGAUGUCUCCUGUGCUCCAUCAACCAAUCUCAUGAUUUCUACAUCCGGCUGGAAAGGUAAUAUUUUGUCCUAGUUUCUUUUUAUCUCCAGAGAUCAGUGAAUUGGGGAUAUUAAACUGCAUUACUUUAGUAGGGAAUAAGAAUUAGGAAUCAAAGAUGAAGAGGACCUGGACAAUUAAGAUUAUACAGUGCUAACAAAAAACUAAGGAAACCCAUGGGGCUUCUACCUCGUGCACUUUGUGAUAAUGGUAUAAUAUGUUAUUUUCUUUACAAAAUUUUAUAUGAGAAAUUGACUUGGUAUACGUCUAGUUCUUGAGUAAAUACUCAAAUUUAUGUUCACGUCUCGUGGUCCUACUAUUCCUCUUGAAGAAAUGAUGGCCUCAAAUGAAGCCAGUAUUCACUAAUUUAGUACCAAUGUUUGCGAUGACGCACUUUGCUAAAUUGAUGAUAUGUUUAUUGAAUUUUCUCUCAUGGUAAUAUUGAAUACAUAAUAUUUUUCCCUGAGCUGAAUUUGUGGUGUAUUUCUAACAUGCAUUGGUAUGUGUGAUAAUUUAGCGUUUUAGGUAUUUUUGAGAUGAUAGUAUUUUGCAUUAUUUAUAGUUGUUUAGUUUUAGCCCUAGGCUUUGAGAAAUCCUGGCUCCGCCACUGCCCCAAAUGACGGGUGCGUUCUUCUUACUCAAAGCAUGUAAUGGUGAAGCAAUAGUGGUAAAAUCCUUAACAAAGCGUCGAUAAAAUCCGGCUAGGCCAAGGAAGCUACGCACUUGUGUUAAAUUGGUUGGUUGUGGCCAUGUUUUAAUAGCAUUAAUCUUAGACUCAUCAAUGUGAACACCCUUAGAAGACACAAAAGAGCCCAAGAAAACAAGCUUAUCAACACCAAAAGUGCAUUUUUCCAUAUUUGCAUAAAGACACUCAUUUCUAAGAACUUGCAAGACUUGUCCAAGAUGUUUGACAUGAUCUUCUAGAGAUUGGCUAAAAACAAGGAUAUCAUCAAAGUAUACUACAACAUAAAUGCCAAUGUAUUUUUGAAGGACAUAAUGCAUGACUCGCAUGAAUGUGCUAGGCGCUUUGGAUAAGCCCAUAGGCAUGACUAACCAUUCAUAUAAGCCAAAUUUGCUUUAUAAAUCCGUUUUUAAUUCAUCACCCUCUUGAAUGCGAAUUUGAUAGUAGCCACUUUUAAGGUCAAUUUUGGAAAAAAUGGUGGCUCCACUAAGUUCAUCUAGCAUGUCAUCAAGGCGUGGAAUGGGGUGUUUAUACUGAACGGUGACAGCAAUGAUGGGACGACAAUCAGAGCACAUGAAAAACUACCAUCUUUCUUAGGCACAGGAAUAACUGGAACGACACAUGGACUUAAUAUCUCACAUACAUACUCGUUUUCCAUGAGAUGUUGUACUUGCCUUUGAAUCUCCUUUGUCUCAUUGGGGUUGACGCGAUAAGGUGUCUUGUUUGGUAGAGGUGCGCUGGGGAUGAGGUCUAUGCGGUGCUCGAUGCCGUGAAGUGGAGGAAGUCCCAGAGGUAGCUCAUCAGGGAAGACGUCCGCAAAUUCCUGCAAUAAAUGAGACAACACCAAAGAUAGAUGUUGUGAAGUAUUAGUCCUCAUCGCUUCAUCUUUGCACACAAGUACAAAGUGAAGAACACUCGAUGGGCUCUCACUCACAUCCCUCAUGUCCCUUUUGGUGGCUAAAAGCACUAAGUUUUUCUUGUCGCUCAUCGUGGAGGCACUCAAUUUUGGCUUGUGGUGCUCACUCUCUUUUGGGUGGUUCACUUGGUCACUAUUCUCUCCAUGAUGGGUUGAUUCUUGCUUUUCGGUGAUCACUUGACUUGGUGACAUAGGUCAUAGCACGUACUCCUUGCCCUUCAUCUUGAAGCUGUAGUGAUUGGUUCGCCUGUUGUGGGUGACCCCGCAAUCGAAUUGCCAAGGUCUUCCUAAGAGGAGAUGGCACACGGUCAUAGGAACCACAUCACACUCCAAGGUGUCUUCGUAUGCGCCAAUCUUGAAGGAGACUUGAACGGUGUGUGAUACGUCCAUUUUGCAUCAUGUUUUCCUACUGUUAUUUAUAUUGUUUUUAUGCUUUAUAACACUUUGUGGGGUAAUUCUAAUGCCUUUUCUCUCAUAAUAUGCAAGGUUUACACAAAGAGGGAGAAUACCGGCAGCUGGAAUUCUGGACCUAAAAAAGCUAUGUCAAAGAUACCUAUUCUGCACAUCUCAAAUGAGCUGAUAUUUUACGGAGAAUUAUUUUGGAAUAUAUAAUAAAUAUUGGAGAGAAGAACUACCAGAGGUGAGCAGCCAGGUGGCCACAAGACACCAGGGCGGGGCAAACCCUCCAGGUGCGCCCUGGUGGGUGGUGGGCACCCUGCCCCACCUCCGGUGCCCAUCUUCUGGUAUAUAAGGUCUUUUGACAUAGAAAAAAAUAAAGAGAGGACUUUCAGGACGAAGCACGCCGUCUCGAGGCGGAACUUGGGCAGGAGCACUUUUGCCCUCCGGCGGAGCGAUUCCGCUGAGGGAAAUUCCCUCGCGGAAGGGGAAAUCGAAGCCAUCAUCAUCACCAACAACCCUCUCAUCUUUGGGAGGCCAAUCUUCGUCAACAUCUUCAAUAGCACCAUCUUAUCUCAAAACCAUAGUUCAUCUCUUGUGUUCAAUCUUUGUACCGGAACCUCAGAUUGGUACAUGUGGGUGACUAGUAGUGUUGAUUACAUCUUAUAGUUGAUGCUAGAUGGUUUAUUUGGUGGAAGAUUAUAUGUUCAGAUCUAUUAUGCUAUUUAAUAUCCCUCUGAUCUUGAGCAUGAAUAUUAUUUGUGAGUAGUUGCCUUUGUUCUUGAG